rnacentral:rRNA from 1 species
CCUACGGGAGGCAGCAGUGGGGGAUAUUGCACAAUGGGGGAAACCCUGAUGCAGCGACGCCGCGUGUGGGAAGACGGUCCUCUGGAUUGUAAACCACUGUCACCAGGGACGAAGAUGACGGUACCUGGGGAGGAAGCUCCGGCUAACUACGUGCCAGCAGCCGCGGUAAUACGUAGGGAGCGAGCGUUGUCCGGAAUUACUGGGUGGAAAGGGAGCGUAGGCGGGACUGCAAGUUGGGUGUCAAAUCUACCGGCUCAACCGGUAGCCGCACUCAAAACUGCAGUUCUUGAGUGAAGUAGAGGCAGGCGGAAUUCCUAGUGUAGCGGUGAAAUGCGUAGAUAUUAGGAGGAACACCAGUGGCGAAGGCGGCCUGCUGGGCUUUUACUGACGCUGAGGCUCGAAAGUGUGGGGAGCAAACAGGAUUAGAUACCCGGGUAGUC